rnacentral:rRNA from 1 species
UCCUACGGGAGGCAGCAGUGGGGAAUUUUCCGCAAUGGGCGAAAGCCUGACGGAGCAACGCCGCGUGAGGGAUGAAGGCCUCUGGGCUGUAAACCUCUUUUCUCAAGGAAGAAGAUAUGACGGUACUUGAGGAAUAAGCCACGGCUAAUUCCGUGCCAGCAGCCGCGGUAAUACGGGAGUGGCAAGCGUUAUCCGGAAUUAUUGGGCGUAAAGCGUCCGCAGGCGGCCCUUCAAGUCUGCUGUUAAAACGUGGAGCUUAACUCCAUCAAGGCAGUGGAAACUGUUGGGCUUGAGUGUGGUAGGGGCAGAGGGAAUUCCCGGUGUAGCGGUGAAAUGCGUAGAUAUCGGGAAGAACACCAGUGGCGAAGGCGCUCUGCUGGGCCAUAACUGACGCUCAUGGACGAAAGCCAGGGGAGCGAAAGGGAUUAGAUACCCCUGUAGUCCUGGCCGUAAACGAUGAACACUAGGUGUCGGGGGAAUCGACCCCUUCGGUGUCGUAGCCAACGCGUUAAGUGUUCCGCCUGGGGAGUACGCACGCAAGUGUGAAACUCAAAUGAAUUGACGG